rnacentral:pre_miRNA from 1 species
GGGUGGAGCAUCGGAUCCUGGGUUGUGUCCCCCGGCGCCCUGGGGCCUGUGCGCUGGAAUCGUGCUCCUGGGGCCACGCAGCCCCCU